AUUUCCUCCUCGAGCAGACGAAGCUGUGAUCCUUGUGACAGACGUCAUCGUUCCACUUGCCACUCAUCAGGGGUCCGUGAGCCAUCGCUACGCAGUGUUCCUGUUGAGGAUAACAAUUGGUGUACAGCACGGCGCUGACGCCGUCACUCCAGGCGUACUGAUUCUCCACCAAGAGAUCCGACAGGCCGAUCCACGUGGGAAGCUCCAGGUCCCUCAGGUAGCUAGCGACGAAGUCUGGAGGACAGGAGAGGAUCUAAAUAUGGAGACUGGUCUUUUUUUUUUGACCCGAGGCCAGUGGACUGUUGACUUCUCGCAGCUGCAACUCACCAUUCUCGUACUGGUCAUCGAUUACUGCCAGCUCGCCUCCUUGGGCUUUGCACCAGGUCCGCGCGUGAGACCAAUUCGCUUUAAUGUCGUCUUUCCUCCCUUUGAACAUGAAGCAUUUGUCCUUGAAAAGCAUCCAACCUGCAGAGUAGGAAGGUGAAUGGGUCAUAUUAUAGAUUUUUAUUGGUUGUAUUAUCAGUUACAGCUUGAUUGGUGUGUGUAUAAAAUAAACUACUUUAAAUGCAAUAGUAUUGUAUAUUACGCAAUGCGUAAGAAGGGACAGAAACCCCCCAAUUCUGAAGUGGUUUGCUAUUUGAACAAGACAAUCAGAGAAAUGAAAAACUAAAAUAAUAAAGAGUAAAAAAAAAUCAUGCAAAAUCUAAUUUGACUUCAUGAAGUACUAAAAUAGUAUUUUCAGUGUAAAACCGUGUAAAAGUCUGUGUGCAUGUUUUAAUAAAUAAACAACACCUAAAAUGUA